UACAGAGGUGGCAAGCGUUGUUCGGAAUUACUGGGCGUAAAGGGCGCGUAGGCGGUUCGUUAAGUCCUGUGUGAAAUCCCCCGGCUCAACCUGGGGAACUGCACAGGAACUAGCGGGCUUGAGUUCGGGAGAGGGAAGCGGAAUUCCGGGUGUAGCGGUGAAAUGCGUAGAUAUCCGGAAGGAACACCGGUGGCGAAGGCGGCUUCCUGGACCGA
rnacentral:rRNA from 1 species